UUGCUGAUCGACAUCGAGCUUGCUUUUGAAAAAGAAAGUGAAUUGAUGAUUUCUUUUAUCAUGAUCUCAAUUCAUACAAUUUAAACAAACCCUACCCCAUUUCUGGCCGAGCAAUUGAGGAUUUGGAGUUCCAGUUUUGUACCCGAAGAGGCUAUAUUAUUUUUGCUUUAGUAGUUUUCUUCUCUCUUAAUUGUAUGAAUCUGGUUCCAGGUUUAGUAACCGUUCAUGACUCUCUUGAAUUCUGAUUGUGGGAUACAGUUAGAUUUCCACGACCAUGUAUAGUUCAUACAAAAAGGAAGGAGAUCAACAGCAGAAGGCCAAAACAUAAAAGAUUUUCGGAGAACUUGAGUAGAUAAAACUUAAACCAGGAGCAGAUCGGAGAACUAUAGAAGAACAACUUGAGGUUGUCCAAAUGAAAUUAUUGAUGACUUUGUAUGACAAGAAUAGUUGAAGGCUAAAGUGUGUUAAAUCCUAGGUUGCUACUACCUGAAUAAUUUCAUUCUUUCUAAUGUUCGCAAAACCUUCUUGCAGAAAUAAAGCUACCUACCUAGCUGUCUGUAUUAUUGUUUUGUUAUCACCUUUGUGGCUUUUGAUAUACUUUCUGAAUGCAAUUUCAAGUCACAUACUAUUGUUCAAAAUACAUUAUUCCUUAUAUGC